GGCAGGGAUCUGGAGGAAAUAAGGCACAUUAACUUCUUCCCGGAGUCCUGGCUGGUCCGGGUGACAGCCAACCACUACUUCACACUGGAGAACGGGGGCGAUAUGGCCCACUUGAGAGAACUCUCCUCGCAGGCUAUGAGAUUCGGGAUGAUCUUUAACAAGGAUUUUACCACUUACUCAAAGAUAAUUUCUCUAUAUGGAUUCUUCUUUGAGAUAAAGGGGAUCAAACAUGACGCAACCUCUUACAGC